rnacentral:snRNA from 1 species
AGCGGCAGAGGACCAUACAUACCGUACAAUACUCUCGCCUUUUACUAGAGUAUUCCGUGUUCGGUCCUUGCUAAUGCCGCAUUACGAAUUUUUCAGCCCUCAGCUUGAUCUGAGUU